GCUGGAGGAUGAGUCUCUGUCUGUCUCUUUCUCUGUUCUACACCACUCCUCUGCAAUUCUGUUGGGCCAGGCACGCAGUGAGUACUCUGCCCACUGUGCAGCCACCAAUGGGAUUGGAAGGACACAAGCACUGCAACCAGAAUGACAAAUGUGUGUGUGUCUCUCUUUCCCAGGGUUGAGCAUCCAUGAGGCCAAAGACCUGUGGUGCUGGGACUGGCACCAGGACAGCAGGCUCCUGGGCUACAGGAACACAGCCAGGGUGGGGGAGGUCUUCGGAAAGUUCUUCUUGGAAGGGCAGAGAAGACUCUUGCUCCGGAUGUCAGUGCUGGCCAUCCACAACCCCCUGCUGUGAGUCAGCCAGGCUGGGCUGGUCCUGGCCUACUUCCUCCAGAGGGAAGCCCAAGAGCUGAUGGUGGACAAGCAAGAGGACAUCACCUCCAAAGUGAUGCACCAGCUCCGCAUUAUCUGGCACUUGCACCAGGUGCCUGAGGCACUGCAAGGGUUGUGCCACUGAGGCCAUCAGCAACUCCCACUCCGUCCUGCAGGUACUGCUCUGG